rnacentral:tRNA from 1 species
AAAUAAGUAAGCUAAAACUUAAGCUGUUAGGUUCAUACCCUAAAUAUAGAACUCUAUAAUCUCUUAUUUA